CAUUAGAUGGCUGAAAGUAAGCAAUGGAAUUUUAAACCAUAUUAUAGUAAUUAACAUCCACUUCUAAUGA